CGCGGCCUAUCAGCUUGUUGGUGAGGUAACGGCCCACCAAGGUGACGACGGGUAGCUGGUCUGAGAGGACGGCCAGCCACACUGGGACUGAGACACGGCCCAGACUCCUACGGGAGGCAGCAGUGGGGAAUCUUGCGCUAAUGCGCGAAAGCGUGACGCAGCGACGCCGCGUGGGGGAUGAAGGCCCUCGGGUCGUAAACCCCUUUCGCCAGGGAAGAAGCGAAAGUGACGGUACCUGGAGAAGAAGUCCCGGCUAACUACGUGCCAGCAGCCGCGGUAACACGUAGGGGACGAGCGUUGUCCGGAUUUAUUGGGCGUAAAGCGCGCGUAGGCGGCCCGGAAAGUCGGUUGUGAAAACCCGGGGCUCAACCCCGGGCCUGCAUCCGAUACUUCCGGGCUGGAGGCAGGUAGGGGAGAUCGGAAUUCCUGGUGUAGCGGUGGAAUGCGCAGAUAUCAGGAGGAACACCGGUGGCGAAGGCGGAUCUCUGGGCCUUGCCUGACGCUGAGGCGCGAAAGCUAGGGGAGCGAACAGGAUUAGAUACCCUGGUAGUCCUGGCCGUAAACGUUGGGUGCUAGGUGUGGGCGGAUAUCGACCCCGUCCGUGCCGAAGCUAACGCAUUAAGCACCCCGCCUGGGGAGUACAAU
rnacentral:rRNA from 1 species